UCCUAAAGACUAAGCCAUGCAUGCCUUCGAAUAAGAAGAAGCAAUUCUCUCUGAAUCUGCGAACGGCUCCGCAAACCAGUUGUAAACUAAAGCAAGCUCGUCCUUUGUCAACCCUCACGGGUAGACACUGGACUUACAAGGAUAACCCUGGUAAUCCUGAGGCUAAUACAUGAACAUUACCCCCUCCCAGCUAAUUGACCCGGUCUUUAUUGACUGGUGAUACUGGGGGGGGACGUGCGAUUUAUUUGCUAAAGCUUGCUGGGAAAGGGUGCACGUCUUGACCACGUUACAAAGAUAUCUCCCCAACCAUGACACCUGACAUCCCUUCCCUCGGGAAGACGCAUCGAUGGCGAUUGGGACGGGAUUUAUCCAGUGGCUCUUGCUGUGUGCUUCUGACCUAUCAACUAGAUGGCAGCGUAAUGCACAUGCCAUGGUUGCAACGGGUACAGAGGAUCAGGGUUCGAUCCUGGAGAGUGGGCCUGAGAGAUUGCUCAUACUUCUAAGGAAGGCAGCAGGCGCGCAACGUUCCCAGUGGGCAAUGCCCGAGGGCGUUAGGGGACAUAUGAAUGUCUGCCCAAUGGGUGGACAAUUCAAAUGGGUUUGUUUUAAACAGCCCUUCGAGUAACAAU
rnacentral:rRNA from 1 species